CCUACGGGAGGCAGCAGUGAGGAAUAUUGGUCAAUGGGCGGGAGCCUGAACCAGCCAAGUCGCGUGAGGGAAGACGGUCCUAUGGAUUGUAAACCUCUUUAGGCGGGGAGCAAUGCCGGGCACGCGUGCCCGGAGGGUGAGUACCCGCAGAAUAAGCAUCUGCUAACUCCUUGACAUCAGACGCGGUAAUACGGGGGAUGAGAGCGUUAUCCGGAUUUAUUGGGUUUAAAGGGUGAGUAGGCGGAUUUUUAAGUCAGCGGUAAAAUGUCAGGGCUAAAACAGGGCGGGAAGUUGAAAAUGGGGAUAUUGAGUGGGAGAGAAGUAGGAGGAAUGAGUGGUGUAGAGGUGAAAUGAAUAGAUAUAAAGAAGAAAUAAGAUUGAGAAGGAAGAAUAAAGGAGAAAGAAUGAAGAUGAGGAAUGAAAGAGUGGGGAUAGAAAAGGAUUAGAUAAAAUGUAGGC
rnacentral:rRNA from 1 species